UGGGGAAUAUUGCGCAAUGGACGAAAGUCUGACGCAGCGACGCCGCGUGUGGGAUGAAGCUUUUCGGAGUGUAAACCACUGUUGCCCGGGACGAAUCGCCUUAUUCGUAAGGCUUGACGGUACCGGGUGAGGAAGCACCGGCUAACUCUGUGCCAGCAGCCGCGGUAAUACAGAGGGUGCGAGCGUUGUCCGGAAUCACUGGGCGUAAAGGGCGCGUAGGUGGCUAGGUAAGCGUGUGGUGAAAGCCCGGGGC
rnacentral:rRNA from 1 species